rnacentral:lncRNA from 1 species
GUUGCUUACAAUUUGAUGCAUCAAACUACACACAUUGAAACAAUUGUGAUCAAGCAAACAAGCCAAGCUCGCACGGCUUAUCGCACUUGCUUGAAUGCAUCACUUAAGUGCACUAGGUAUUUGUUGCGGCAAGGGCUUUCUUUUCGUGGUCAUGAUGAAAGUGCACAAUCAAGUAAUAAAGGGAAUUAUUUAGAGCUCUUGCAAUUUCUUGCGGAUCAUGAUGAAAAAGUUAAGGCCGUUGUGUUGGAAAAUGCUCCGGGAAAUUUAAAGUUAAUAGCUCCUUCAAUUCAAAAAGAUCUUGUCAAUUCUUGUGCCAAAGAAACCAUUGAUCUUAUCUUGAGUGAUGUAAAAGAUAGAUAUUUUUCAAUAAUGGUGGAUGAAGCACGUGAUGUUUCAAUAAAGGAGCAAAUGGCGAUGGGGUUGCGUUAUGUGAAUGACAAAGGACAAAUAAUUGAAAGGUUUGUGGGGGUUCAACAUGUAACCGACACUACUUCAAGUGCACUAAAGGAAGCAAUUGAUGAAUUCUUUUCUUCCGCGAAUUUGAGCUUUUCCAAGCUACGAGGACAAGGUUAUGAUGGAGCUAGCAAUAUGAGAGGUGAGUUCAAUGGCCUUAAGACAAAGAUUUUGAGAGAACAACCUUGUGCAUUUUAUGUUCAUUGCUUUGCUCAUCAACUUCAACUAGCUCUUGUUGCGGUAGCAAAGAAAAACAUUGAUGUCAACUCUUUUUUCACAACGGCUAAUAGUUUGGUUAAUGUUGUUGGAGCAUCUUGUAAGCGUCGCGAUGCACUUAGAGCACAAUACCAAGAAGAGCUUGUGAGAGCUUUUGAAGAUGAUUGUCUUAUAACGGGGCGGGGCUUAAAUCAAGAAAGGACUCUCAAACGUGCCGGCGAUACACGAUGGAACUCACA